rnacentral:lncRNA from 1 species
GAGUUUGUUUGUUUGGUUUAACUUAUUGUGUAGCUAAAUUAAUGUUAAUUUUUUUUCCCUUAGAUUUCAACAAGAGAAACUUAAGCUGCAUUGGAUUCCCACCUCAAAGAAAAGUCCCAAGCUUUCAGGGAGAGCUUUCACUUGAAGACAAAGAGCACCUUGCUAACAGCAAAAGAGAAAUUGAUGUUAAGUUUUUAGCUGCACUUCCUAAAGGUAAGACUUGUUCUAAAUUGUUGACCAGUGUUCAGGGCAUAUAAAUAUAUGUUCCCUGAUUUUCUUUCAGAAGAGUUCUUUCUCACUAAUCUCAACUUGCUUUGUCCAUUCCCACCUCAUCUGAGAAUUAGCUCAGCCUCAAUUAAAAUUCCUGUCUUCUUGCAUUUUUAUUCCUCAUCUUUCUACUUGUUCUUUCCCUUUGAUUCUAGGGAUCCUUGAGUUUUCACUGAAGGCUUGGUGGGGAGGAUAAGAAAAGGAGUGUAGGACCACCCUUACCUGCUCUUCUCUCCUUCCCACUUUUAAACAUCUCCAAAAAGCAGUUAGUCUUGUUCAUCCCUAGAAAACUGCUUCCCAGUUUUAUGACAUUCACAUUUAAUAUAUUUCUGCUCCUCUACUGGGCUAGAAAUCCCUAGUGCAGACUACAUCUUAAUCAUUUUUCUUCUUCCCCA